AUUGAACGCUGGCGGCAUGCCUUACACAUGCAAGUCGAACGGCAGCGGACCUUCGGGUGCCGGCGAGUGGCGAACGGGUGAGUAAAGUAUCGGAACGUGCCUUUCAGUGGGGGAUAACGUAGCGAAAGUUACGAUAAUACCGCAUAUUCUCUGAGGAGGAAAGCAGGGGACCUUCGGGCCUUGCGUUGAUACAGCGGCCAAUAGCAGAUUAGCUAGUUGGUGAGGUAAGGCUCACCAAGGCGACGAGCUGUAGCGGGUCUGAAAGGAUGAACCGCCACACGGGAACUGAGACGCGGUCCAGACUCCUACGGGAGGCAGCAGUGGGGAAUUUUGGACAAGGGGGGCAACCCUGAUCCAGCCAUGCCGCGUGAGUGAAGAAGGCCUUCGGGUUGGAAAGCUCUUUCGGCCGGGAAGAAAUCGCAUAGGUUAAUACCCUGUGUGGAUGACGGUACCGGAAUAAGAAGCACCGGCUAACUACGUGCCAGCCGCCGCCGUAACAC
rnacentral:rRNA from 1 species